rnacentral:misc_RNA from 1 species
GAUGAAGAACGUAGCGAAAUGCGAUACGUAAUGUGAAUUGCAGAAUUCAGUGAAUCAUCGAAUCUUUGAACGCAUAUUGCGCUCUUUGGUAUUCCGAAGAGCAUGCUUGUUUGAGUAUCAGUAAACACCUCAAAGACUUCAAUUUGUUUUGAAUGGCUUUGGACUUGAGCAAUCCCAACACCAGUCUUUACGAUCGGUGGAGGGUUGCUUGAAAUGCAGGUGCAGCUGGACAUUCUCCUGAGCUAAAAGCAUAUUUAUUUAGUCCCGUCAAACGGAUUAUUACUUUUGCUGCAGCUAACAUAAAGGGAGUUUGACCGUAUUGGCUGACUGAUGCAGGAUUUCACAAGGGUCGGCAACGAUUCUUGUAAAACUCGAUCUCAAAUCAAGUAAGACUACACGCUGAACUUAAGCAUAUCAAUAAGCGGAGGA